GCCGGUGUGUCGGAAUUGGCAGACGAGGCAGACUCAAAAUCUGUUGAUCGCAAGGUCGUGCGGGUUCAAGUCCCGCCACCGGCA
rnacentral:tRNA from 2 species